ensembl:lncRNA
GAACAUAUGAGUCGAUAAAUAAUACGAGUAGUCAAGCUGGUGGUGUUUCCCUAUAGAAAGUGAUUUCCACGACAAUUUGGCGAUGAUGAUGGGAUGGCUAACUCCGUUCACUGAUCGUUUCCAGGGACUCCAAGGUUAAACUGCACGCAGGGACCACAAUGGUGUGGUUCAGGGAGCUCACAUUCCGUCUAGGCCGGCACAGAAGGGACCCGCCUCGGACCUGGCAGGGAGCGUCAAUGGAUGGAUACGCCAUCCCGAACAUAAAAACUAAAGAAUGGUCUCAAAUCAGUUGUUGAUUCCCUGCUGCUUCACGGCCUUCCUGAUAUCUUUAGCCCACAGUGUAAGUUUGAUAUUGGACAAAUGAAGGGCGUUCAGCCCAGUAGGGCCCAGUACCCUCUUAGUAAGGAAGCUGAAGAAGGGAUUGCUAUUGUUCAUAAUUCCCUGGUAGGGAUGGGUGCCAUAAUAAUGCCCUUAUUCUCCAUGUAACACUGCCAUCCUUCCUGUUCGUGAAGCUAAUGGGGAUUGGCGAUUUGUUCAAGAUCUUAGACCUGUUAAUGAAGUAAUACAUGCUGGUUCCCCUGUCAUUCUCAACCCUGUCACAGUCGUAUCUGAUGUCCCAUCCCCCGCAAAUUGAUUUUCAGUUAUUCAUUUUUCAGUAUUCCUGUGGCAAAGGAAUCUCAAUACUGGUUUGCUUUUACGUUCCGUGGGAAGCGAUGGACCUGGUCCGUCCUCCCUCAACGGUACAUUGAGUCUCCAGCUGUCUUCUCUGCAGCACUUGCUCAAAAAUCUGAAAGGGGUUCUUACCUCCGGCAGGAAGUAAGCUCAUUCAAUAUGUUGAUGAUUUACUCUUGUGCUCUGAGACUCAGAAGGAUUGUGAAACUGAUACCAGAGUGUUGUUGAAAUUCUUAGCUGAGAAUGGCCACACAUUUUCCAAAACAAAAUUGCAACUUGUCCAACAAUCUGUUAGGUACCUAGGCCAUGAGAUCACGCCUAAUGGUAGAUUGUUGGGUCCAGAACGCGUUAAAGCAGGGCUGGAACUUCCCAAGCGAAUACCCAAAGGCCAAAUGAUGAGCCUUUUGGGUGUGGCCGGCUACUGCCGAGCCUGGCUUCCAGACUUUGCCGAAAUCACAGCCUCUGUCUAAUCACAAAAUGGCCAUGAAGGACAACAUUUUUGGACCACUGACGGACUGACUUCCCUGGAUCGUCUCAAACACUCCCUGUUUACCUGUUACCUCUCCCUGUUUAGGUUUACCAGAUCAUACAAAGCUGUUUAACCUCUUUGUGGAAAAAAAUGGGUUUGGCUACUACUCCAAGCGUUUGGAUCUAGUCUCUCGGGCUCUGGUCUGCUGCCUACGGGCAGUUGCCGCAGCUACUGAGGCUGUUCUGGCUUGUGCAGACAUUGUUGCAAUGUGCCCUCUCACUGUUCAUGUUCCACAUGCUGUUCAUUCUCUCAUUUAACUGGCUAAGACAGCACAUUUGCACCCUGCUAGGUUACUGCAAUAUCAAAACAUUCUCAUGACAUGGUCGUGCAUGAUUUUGGUUCGCUGUGGCGCCAGCGCGGGUUCCUAACAGCAUCUGGUAAGAAUCUGUCACUCUAGGUUAGUUGCUAAUCUAGUAUACUCUAUCUUACUACCGGACUCCAUUUCUGUGUGCAAAUGUCAGUCUCGUACUAAUGCCUCUGAUUCCGUCUCUAAAGGUAAUGCUGUAGCUGAUAUGGAUGACCAGGAUUUUCCUUAUAUGCCAAAAAUGUGUGAUUUGUAUGACAAACAAUGUGGGUAGGGGCACAAUGAUGCCUAUGUCGGCCCACCAAAGGCCUGAGGGUCCAUUUUGAGCACUUAAUGAUGGAUUUCAUUGAGUUGACUCUAUGCCAGAGAUACAAAUGUUGCCUGAAAGAUGGGGCCUACCAUCGAAAUUGACAUCAGACAAUGGCUCCCAUUUUGUAAAUACGGUAAUUGAAUGAGUCUCCACUAGUUUGAAGAACCAUCUGCGCACACAUUGUAGCUAUCAUCCAGCCAGUAGUGGAGCUAAUCAGACUCUUAAAACCAAACUGACCAAAUUGAUGGCUGAGACAGAGUUGUCUUAGGUAACAGUGAUGCCACUUGCCUUAAUGUAAAUGCGAGGCAGAGAGCAUCGCACUACGGAAGUAUCUCCUCAUGAAGUGCUUACAGGCAGACCAAUGAAGAUGAUCACCACUCCUUUCCCACAG